rnacentral:rRNA from 1 species
GACAGAGGGGCAAGCGUUGCUCGGAAUCACUGGGCGUAAAGAGCUCGUAGGCGGUUUGUUGCGUCGGCUGUGAAAUCCCGAGGCUCAACCUCGGGUCUGCAGUCGAUACGAGCAAACUAGAGUGUUGCAGGGGAGACUGGAAUUCCUGGUGUAGCGGUGAAAUGCGCAGAUAUCAGGAGGAACACCAAUUGCGAAGGCAGCUCGCUGGGACGUGACUGACGCUGAUGCGCGAAAGCCAGGGGAGCGAACGGG